ensembl:misc_RNA Y_RNA Y RNA
AACUGGUCCAAGUGCAGUGGUGUUUAUAACUAAUUGAUCACAAUCAGUUACAGAUUCCUUUGUUCCUUCUCCACUCCCACUGCUUCACUUGAUUAGCCUUUA